AGGGCCUUCAAUAGAAUCAGUAGAGACACGCGCUUUCAUUCUUUUCUUCGAAACCACAAAGAGCAGCGCUCUUCCUCCCUCCACCUUACCAUCAACCCUAACCCACGUCUUCAGAUUCCGAGAUCAAAUCGCAGCUCACCAGGAAGCUCGAAAUCGCAAGUCAGCAGGAGCAGGAAGCCCUAAAUCGCAACUCACCAUCCUCGCACAUCAUCGUCGCUGUGUCUUCCCCAAAUCGUCGCGACCUCCUCCUUCCUGGCAUCACUGAGUCUCUCCUCUCCGCGGCUUCAGUGCUUUUCCGUUCUUCGUAGCGUCCUUGCGUCUUCUGCUUCGCUACCUCUCCCCUGUUCUGCUUCGCUGCUUCUGCUUCACUGGGUUGUGCUUCGCCACUUCUUCUUUGCUGCUGCUGCUUCACUGCAUUGGUGGUUACGGGUUGUCAUCUGUGGCUGCUUCUAAGGAAAAUAAUGAACCACCUACUCAAGCAGAAAUAUUUGUUGAGACUCGCCAAAGCACAAAGGGAAAAUCAUUGGAUGAAGACACUCUGGAUGUUAUUGUAAGUAUUAAUUAGGAGUUAAUUUGGUUAAAAAAGGUUUUAGAUUUCUUGUGUCUUGGCAAUUUUUCCAUCACUUGUGGUUACUUUUAUGCUUGCGUUGAGUUAAAGAAUCUUGACAUUAUUUUUAAUCUCUAUUAUUUGUUUCGAUGUUGUCAAAUGAUAUAUGCCUUUAGUCCAAUUGUGUAUUCACUCUUAUUUUAUUACUAUUAUUUUUCUUCACAUUAAUAUAUGCACAUUUGCAAGCUGAGAAUAAAAAGUCUAAAGAAUCAGCAAUUAGAGCUUUCCAAUCCAUAUUUGGGAAAGAGAAGGCAGAGAGAGUGCGAUGUCACGGAAGAGUUACCACACCAACUUUGUUGAAGAAAAAUGAGGAAAUUGCCACCCUUAAACAGCAACAUGCAACUAAGAAAGCAACAUUAGAGAAUAAGGUUGAUGUGAUGCAAAAAGAAGUAGAUGAACUAAAAUCGCUUGUUAAGAUGAUGCUGCAACAAAAAAACUCAGGAGUGGACCUUGACAUGUUAGCUGCUCAAUUAGGAAGCACUUUAGGGAAUCCAAACAAUGAUGCGCAUGAAGAGGAAAACUAUGUUGAAGGAAAAAUCGAACUUGAUUAAGGUCAACUUUUUAAAAGCAAAUGUUACAGAGUAAAAAGUCAUGAACUUGUGGACAUGAUGACUAUUUGCUACUUAGCUAUUUCAACUCUCUUUUGUUAUUAUAUUUUUUGCAAACUUAGAUGAUAUUGUGGAUCUUACAACAAUUUUUAUAAGUUAAAUUUGAUGGGAAAUGUUCAAUUUUUUUUCUUUA